rnacentral:rRNA from 1 species
UACGUAGGGUGCGAGCGUUAAUCGGAAUUACUGGGCGUAAAGCGUGCGCAGGCGGUUCGUUAAGUCAGCUGUGAAAGCCCCGGGCUCAACCUGGGAAUUGCGGUUGAAACUGGCGGACUAGAAUCUGGCAGAGGGGGGUGGAAUUCCACGUGUAGCAGUGAAAUGCGUAGAGAUGUGGAGGAACACCGAUGGCGAAGGCAGCCCCCUGGGCUGAGAUUGACGCUCAGGCA